rnacentral:rRNA from 1 species
UACGUAGGGAGCAAGCGUUGUCCGGAAUCAUUGGGCGUAAAGCGCGCGUAGGCGGCGCGGUAAGUCACUUGUGAAAUCUCUGAGCUUAACUCAGAACGGCCAAGUGAUACUGCAGUGCUAGAGUGUGGAAGGGGCAAUCGGAAUUCUUGGUGUAGCGGUGAAAUGCGUAGAUAUCAAGAGGAACACCUGAGGUGAAGACGGGUUGCUGGGCCAACACUGACGCUGAGGCGCGAAAGCCAGGGGAGCAAACGGG